rnacentral:rRNA from 1 species
UAACGCGUGAGCAACCUACCUCUAUCAGGGGGAUAGCCUCUCGAAAGAGAGAUUAACACCGCAUAAUAUAAUGUACCGGCAUCGGGAUAUUAUUAAAUAUUUAUAGGAUAGAGAUGGGCUCGCGUGACAUUAGCUAGUUGGUAGGGUAACGGCUUACCAAGGCGACGAUGUCUAGGGGCUCUGAGAGGAGAAUCCCCCACACUGGUACUGAGACACGGACCAGACUCCUACGGGAGGCAGCAGUAAGGAAUAUUGGUCAAUGGGCGGAAGCCUGAACCAGCCAUGCCGCGUGCAGGAUGACUGCCCUAUGGGUUGUAAACUGCUUUUGUCCAGGAAUAAACCUAAAUACGUGUAUCUAGCUGAAUGUACUGGAAGAAUAAGGAUCGGCUAACUCCGUGCCAGCAGCCGCGGUAAUACGGAGGAUCCGAGCGUUAUCCGGAUUUAUUGGGUUUAAAGGGUGCGUAGGCGGCCUAUUAAGUCAGGGGUGAAAUACGGUGGCUCAACCAUCGCAGUGCCUUUGAUACUGAUGGGCUUGAAUCCAUUUGAAGUGGGCGGAAUAAGACAAGUAGCGGUGAAAUGCAUAGAUAUGUCUUAGAACUCCGAUUGCG